AGCGAACGCUGGCGGCGUGCCUAACACAUGCAAGUCGAACGUGAAAGGGAGCAAUCCCAAGUAAAGUGGCGUACGGGUGAGUAACACGUAGGUAAUCUACCCCAGAAUCUGGAAUAACCGGCCGAAAGGCUGGCUAAUACUGGAUAGAGCGACGGAAUCCGUAAUUGGGUUUUUCGGGAAAGGGAGCCUGUAAAAAGGCCUUCGUUCUGGGAUGAGCCUGCGUCCCAUCAGCUAGUUGGUGAGGUAAAAGCUUACCAAGGCUAUGACGGGUAGCUGGUCUGAGAGGACGAUCAGCCACACUGGAACUGAAACACGGUCCAGACUCCUACGGGAGGCAGCAGUGGGGAAUCUUGCGCAAUGGACGAAAGUCUGACGCAGCAACGCCGCGUGAGUGAAGAAGGCCUUCGGGUUGUAAAGCUCUGUCGAGUGGGACGAAAAUGCUUGGAGUUCACAGCUCCAGGAACUGACGGUACCACUAAAGGAAGCACCGGCUAACUCCGUG
rnacentral:rRNA from 1 species